UACGUAGGGGCAAGCGUUAUCCGGAUUUAUUGGGUUUAAAGGGUGCGCAGGUUGUUUGAUAAGUCAGUGGUGAAAGUCUGUAGCUUAACGGUAGGAUUGCCAUUGAUACUGUUAGACUUGAAUAUGGAUGAGGUAGGCGGAAUGUGUAGUGUAGCGGUGAAAUGCAUAGAUAUUACACAGAACACCGAUUGCGAAGGCAGCUUACUAAUCCAUCAUUGACGCUGAGGCACGAAAGCGUGGGGAUCAAACAGGAUUA
rnacentral:rRNA from 1 species